rnacentral:misc_RNA from 1 species
GAUGAAGAACGCAGCGAAAUGCGAUAAGUAAUGUGAAUUGCAGAAUUCAGUGAAUCAUCGAAUCUUUGAACGCACCUUGCGCCCUUUGGCCAUUCCGAAGGGCAUGCCUGUUUGAGUAUCAUGAACACCUCAACUCUUCAUGGUUUUCCGUGAUGAGCUUGGACUUUGGGGGUCUUGCUGGCCUAUGGUCAGCUCCUCUAAAAUAAAUCAGCUUGCCAGUGUUUGGUGGGUAUCACAGGUGUGAUAACUAUCUACGCUUGUGGUUUUCCACCAGGUAACCUUCAGCAGUGGAGGUUCGCUGGAGCUCACAGAUGUGUCUCUCCUCAGUGAGGACAGCUCUUUGAAUGUUUGAUCUCAAAUCAGGUAGGACUACCCGCUGAACUUAAGCAUAUCAAUAAGCCGGAGGA